AUCCCUUCGGGACAUCCAAUUAAAUUGGAACGAUACAGAGAAGAUUAUCAUGGCCCCUGUGCAAGGUUGACAUGCACAAAUAUGAGUGAACUAUUAAUUGA